UACGAAGGGGGCUAGCGUUGCUCGGAAUCACUGGGCGUAAAGCGCACGUAGGCGGAUUGUUAAGUCAGGGGUGAAAUCCUGGAGCUCAACCCUGGAACUGCCUUUGAUACUGUCGAUCUGGAGUAUGGAAGAGGUGAGUGGAAUUCCGAGUGUAGAGGUGAAAUUCGUAGAUAUUCGGAGGAACACCAGUGGCGAAGGCGGCUCACUGGUCCAUUACUGACGCUGAGGUGCGAAAGCGUGGGGAGCAAACAGG
rnacentral:rRNA from 1 species